AAAGAGUCAGACAAAUACAUGUUCGAUCGUUAGAUAAUUUGAUAGUUAGUUAGUUAAUAGGUAGUCCAAUAGUACCCUUGUAUAGUACCCUUAGUUAGAUAGGUAGUUAGAUAGGUAGUUUAAUAGUUAGACAGAUUGAAUUAGUUAGUUAGUUCGUUAAUUUUACUGUAUUCUGUAUUUGUUUAUUUAUUUAUUUAUUUGGAUUAUUUUUUUGUUUUUGUUUUAUUUUAUUUUGGUGUUUUUCUUUUUGUUUCUUUUUCCUUUUCUUUAUCUUUUUCUUUGUUUUCUUGGUGUUGUUUUUCUUUUUUGAUGUUCUUUUAUUUCAUAUCAUCCUCUUGUUGAUGUUCAUUGGUCUGGGUGAGCCGCUUUCCUCCCAGAAGAGACCCACCCAUAAUUUUGGUGAUGUUAGUUAGGGGCCGAAAGGUGGAUGAUGUUUCUUUGUAUGUUACUUUUCUUGAUGUUGUUCUGUUAUUGCUGUUACUUUUCUUUUGCGAUGUUUUUUUGCUCUUUUUCCCCUAUUUUUUGGUGUUCUUUUCUAUAUCAUCCCUCUUUGAUGUUCUUUGGUCUGGGUGAGC